CGUGAAUUGAUAUCCUGCAAAAUUAUUGAAGAUAUCAGCACUGGACCCUGAGCAGUGCAUGGCCUGCAAGAUCAUGAGAAGGCUGAAGAACCAGGAGUGACAAGAUACCACUGGAUGGUGGGGCACAUAAUUCCACUCAGGGACAGUGAUCUGAAAAUGUCUGUUUACCAACGGUCCCCAUCCAACCUGACAGAGCGUGUGAGGAUCUGCAGAAAAGAAUGGCAGAAC